AUGCACACGCGAAUAAACCAAGGGAGGGAGGCAUCCUUUCUGUAUUAUGUGGGGGCUCACUUCUUGUCGCAAUGCCAGCACGAGGUGUGACGGCACGCUCCAUUUUAGAACGUGGAAGUAAGCUUUCAGGCACGCAGAUGCAAGACAGUGACUCAGGCCAAACGAAAGCGGUCCCCAAUACUUUGGAGAGAGAGAGAUGCUGUUUAUGUUUAAUGGGGAUCGCAUAUUUAGGAUAAGUCUGGAUUGAGGUGGGAGGAGUAGUGAGGGGAAUGAUUUUUGGGGUUUCCAAGUGCUAUUGAAUUGUCGGGAUUAUAAGCCGGAGGAAGAGUGGUUUUUGUUACUGACACAAAGGUGAUGGCAGUUCAGUUUCAGUUAUCUGGAGCUUAUAUGGCUCCUCGGGUUCAGUUGUUGGGCCGGGGCUCAUUGCCCAAAAGGAAGCCUCAAUUAUUUCGAGGUCUUUGGAUUCGUUCUACUCUCUCACAUACUCAGUUUCCGUCAGGCCUCCAUGGAGGAUCAUGCCAGGCAAGAUCUCAGGGUUCUGGGGAUAGCAUGGAUACCACUACUUCUUCAGACAUCAUUGAUGUGACACCCUUUAAAAUGGGUGAAAGUGACACUAUGGAGAAGACCACUGAUUGUACCCCAGCCCUAACUGUGUUCGAUAACAUUGAGUCUCCAAUUGAGCAUCCUUUUUCACUGUCCAAAAGAGUCAUUGUUCUUGAAGUUUUUUUACGGUCUAUUCCAGCAUACUUAGCAAGAUUGAUGUGGUUGAGCUCUAAGAAUGUGUGGAAAAGAAAAGUGUGGGAUUCAUUUCCAUUUCUGGUGAAGGCCAUUGAUUCAGCAAAACCAUGUUUUGCUUGUCUCUCAGACUCCAUCAACAAACCCCAACCACUUAAGCUCGACAUUUCUCUUCCAUCUCUCAAUGAUAUUAGCUGGAGCUUUUCACGCCUUUUCUAUUUGUUGAACAUACAAUUGGAACGAAAUAUUACAGUGUAUCUUAUUUUGCUCAUGUUAGCGUGUUGCUUCUUCACUAUUGUUGGCGGUUUCCUUUUCUUUAAGUACAGGCAGCGCAAAAAACCUUUGGAAGACUGCUUUUGGGAUUCUUGGGCCUGCCUCUGUUCAUCAUCUUCUCACCUUCGGGAAAAAACGUUCUCUGAACGUAUUAUAGGCCUCUUGCUAGCUAUUGGAGGAUUAUUGUUUUAUUCUCGCUUGACUAGUACAAUGACAGAACAAUUUAGGAGUCAUAUGCAAAAGCUGAGAGAUGGUGCACAAUCCCAAUUAUUGGAAUCCGAUCAUAUCAUUAUUUGUGGAGUAAACAGUCAUCUCACUUUUAUACUUAAACAGCUUAACCAGUAUCAUGAAUACUCAGUUCGCUUAGGUACUGCUACAGCCAGGAAGCAACGUGUUGUUCUUUUAUCUGAACUACCGAGAAAGCAGAUUGAGAGGAUUGCAGAUAAUGUCGCCAAAGAUCUGCAUCACAUUGAUGUUCUUACUAGAAGCUGCAGUCUUAGCCUAUCAGGAUCCUUUGAAAGAGCCGCAGCCCCUCAAGCACGUUCCAUUAUAAUGCUAUCAGCAAAGGGUGACCCGUAUGAAGUUGAUGCGGAUGCAUUCCUCUCUGCUCUUGCUCUACAACCUCUUCCUAAAAUGUCAAAUGUGCCAACUGUCAUAGAGGUUACAAACUCAAGCACCUGCGAUCUCUUGAAAUCAGUCUCGGGCAUAAAAGUGGAGCCUAUUCAGAAUGUGGCAUCCAAAUUAUUUGUUCAGUGUUCUCGCCAGCGGGGCCUUAUCAAAAUUUAUAGGCACUUGCUUGAUUAUCGAAAAGAUGUGUUUAAUGUUUGUAACUUUCCUAGCCUUGAAGGUUUCACUUAUAAGCGUGUAAGACGUGGAUUUUUAAAGGCAGUAGUUUGUGGGCUUUUCAGAAAUGGGAAAAUAAACUUCCAUCCUAGUGAUGAUGUGAUUCUCGAGAAAACUGACAAGCUGCUUCUUGUUGCUCCUGUCAAUGUGCACAAGAAUCCUCCUAGUGGAUUAGUGAAUUGGAAGGAAGAAAAUGGGACUUCUGAAAAGGGAGUACUGGAAAGCAAUGAUUCAGGUAGCAAUGUUGAGUUGAGUACGAGAAAGUCGCGUGUUGAUAAAAUUGUAAAACGUCCCAAGAAAUUUGGUUCGAAGAGCUCAGAUUGGAACUUCGGACCAAAAGAGCACAUACUUAUGCUCGGAUGGCGGCCAAAUAUUGUUGAUAUGAUUCUUGAGUACAAUAAUUAUCUUGGUCCUGGCAGCGUUCUGGAAAUAUUAGCGGAGUCUCCAAUCGAUGAAAGAAACCAUGUAAUGAAAUUCCUGGGUCAGAAGAAGAUACAAAAUGUCAAAGUUUCUCAUAGGAUGGGAAAUCCUAUGAAUUAUGAAGCCUUAAAGGAUGCCAUAUUGACUAUCAACAACUCAGUUCAGAAAGGCGAGAAGAUGAAUCUAUCAAUCGUUGUGGUGUCUGAUAAAGGGUGGUUUGCAGGAGAUCCUGCCAGAGCUGACAAAGAUUCCGCUUAUACUCUCCUUCUGGCAGAAAAGCUUUGUAGAGAUUACAAUGUUAAGGUAGAAAACCUCGUUGCAGAGAUCGUCGAUAUUAAAUUGGGAAAACAAAUUGUGAAAAUAAAACCAUCUUUGACAUAUGUUGGUGCAGAGGAAAUAAUGGGACUUGUAACAGCUCAAGUGGCCAAGGAUGAUGAAUUGAAUCAGGUGUGGACAGAUUUACUCAACUCAUGUGGAGACGAAAUAUAUGUGAAGGACAUAAGCAAUUAUAUGAAAGAUGGUGAGAAGCCAUCAUUUUCCGAGCUUUCAGAAAGGGCAAUAUUGCGUCAGGAAGUUGCUAUUGGUUAUAUGAAGGACAACAAGAAGGUUAUAAACCCACCAAAUAAAUCAGAACCACUGUCCCUUGGGAUGGAAGAUUCACUGAUUGUCAUCUCCGAAUACGAAAUAUCAACAACCUGAAUUUGCUGAUUUUGUACUAUUAGAGCAUUGAAGGUGCAUUCCUUCACCAUAUGUUAUCAUGGAAUGUACAAUUUAUGUUUAUAAUGCAAAGGCCCCUUUGUUUCCUAUUCGCGCAUUGUGGCCUAAAGGCACUAGGUCCUUUCAAGCAAUACUUGUGGGUGGUUUGCUUCCUUCUCUGUAGUUCUCCCCUCAUAUUAUUUUCUCUGUCCGAGGUAAAACUUGCAGAGGAAGGUCCAGUAGACCAAUUUCAUGCAUCGAUAGAGCAAGAAACUAAGGUAAAAUUUCAAAAAUUUGUUUCCUUUAGGAUGAACAUGAAAACAUAUCCUUAUACAAUAUCAUUGGACUAAUAGAACACUAGAAUACCUGCUGAAUUAGUCCACAUCAUUAGAAUGCCUAUGGCGAAAAGAGUUCCAUUGUCCUUUAUUCGAAAGACCACUCAACUUUGACAGUUACAACUUACAAGUGCUAGUGACGAAGCAUAGUCAAUUAGCAAAAGAAACCUAAGUUAAGGGUAGUGCUUGCUGUUGAGGAAGUAUCAUUGGUGUCAAUGUCUACAAGAACCCAAGGUGUCUAUUACAAUGGUUUAAAAAGCCGGUACAGCUGGGCAUGUCUCCACAAUUGUUAUUUAUAAAUAAUACAAAUAAAAUAUCA